rnacentral:rRNA from 1 species
GGCUGUUCGCCAUUUAAAGUGGUACGCGAGCUGGGUUUAGAACGUCGUGAGACAGUUCGGUCCCUAUCUGCCGUGGGCGCUGGAGAACUGAGGGGGGCUGCUCCUAGUACGAGAGGACCGGAGUGGACGCAUCACUGGUGUUCGGGUUGUCAUGCCAAUGGCACUGCCCGGUAGCUAAAUGCGGAAGAGAUAAGUGCUGAAAGCAUCUAAGCACGAAACUUGCCCCGAGAUGAGUUCUCCCUGACCCUUUAAGGGUCCUGAAGGAACGUUGAAGACGACGACGUUGAUAGGCCGGGUGUGUAAGCGCAGCGAUGCGUUGAGCUAACCGGUACUAAUGAACCGUGAGGCUUAACCUU